rnacentral:rRNA from 1 species
GUGCCAGCAGCCGCGGUAAGACAGAGGGUGCAAACGUUGCUCGGAAUUACUGGGCGUAAAGCGCGUGUAGGCGGACCUGUAAGUUGGACGUGAAAGCCCUGGGCUCAACCCAGGAAUUGCAUCCAAAACUACAGGCCUAGAGUGAUGGAGAGGGUAGCAGAAUUCCUGGUGUAGAGGUGAAAUUCGUAGAUAUCAGGAGGAACACCGGUGGCGAAGGCGGCUACCUGGACAUCAACUGACGCUGAGACGCGAAAGCGUGGGGAGCAAACAGGAUUAGAUACCCUGGUAGUCC